UCUAUAAGCCGCUUAAAAAUUACCCUCUAACCGAAGAGUGUUAGAUAGCGUCGAAGGACAAGAAGACCCUAUAGAGCUUAAUUUAAAUAAAUAUAAAAAAUUUACUAAAAUUCGGUUGGGGCGACCAGGGAAUUACCCAUCAUCCCUAAGCAAAAGAUAAAUAUAUCAAAAUACUGACCCUUCUACAAGAUCAUUAAAACAAGCUACCUUAGGGAUAACAGGCUAAUCUCACUAGAGAGUCCUUAUCAAUAGUGGGGAUUGGCACCUCGAUGUUGGCUUAGGGAAUCUCUAUAACGCAAAAGUUAUAUAAAGAUGGUUUGUUCAACCAAUAACACCCUACAUGAGCUGAGUUCAGACCGGCGUAAGCCAGGUUAGUUUCUAUCCUCGAUCACUCUAUCUAUUUAUAGUACGAAAGGACCUAAUUAGAGUAAUAUUUACAUACAGGGAAUAAAUAUAAACCAUUCUAAAUAAAAUAAAUCAUAAACUAUGAGUAAGUUGGCAGAAUAUUGCCACC
rnacentral:rRNA from 1 species